CGAAUCGCGGUGCCGGAGGCGAGAGCGUGAAACAGCAGCAGGGUCCACGUGGAAGUUUGCCUGAUAUUCGGCUCAACAUUCAAAGACCGAUUCUAGCAGACCAGACUAAUGUGCUGACAAGCGGUAGUUUUGUACCUAUCGAGGCCAAUGUCAUUCAGCGAACCCCCGGACCAAAUCGACUGUCCAAGAAGAAUUUGAAAAGAUCGGCGGGGGUAGUGGUGGCUAUACCCUGCCCGCCACUGGCCAUAGAA